GACGAACGCUGGCGGCGUGCCUAAUACAUGCAAGUCGAACGAGAGCGACCGGUGCUUGCACUGGUCAAUCUAGUGGCGAACGGGUGAGUAACACGUGGGUAACCUGCCCAUCAGAGGGGGAUAACAUUCGGAAACGGAUGCUAAAACCGCAUAGGUCUUCGAACCGCAUGGUUUGAAGAGGAAAAGAGGCGCAAGCUUCUGCUGAUGGAUGGACCCGCGGUGCAUUAGCUAGUUGGUGAGGUAACGGCUCACCAAGGCCGUGAUGCAUAGCCGACCUGAGAGGGUGAUCGGCCACAUUGGGACUGAGACACGGCCCAAACUCCUACGGGAGGCAGCAGUAGGGAAUCUUCCGCAAUGGACGCAAGUCUGACGGAGCAACGCCGCGUGAGUGAAGAAGGUUUUCGGAUCGUAAAACUCUGUUGUUAGAGAAGAAUAAGUGCUAGAGUAACUGUUAGCGCCUUGACGGUACCUAACCAGAAAGCCACGGCUAACUACGUG
rnacentral:rRNA from 1 species